rnacentral:rRNA from 1 species
GUCGCAUGCUCCCGGCCGCCAUGGCGGCCGCGGGAAUUCGAUUAGAGUUUGAUCCUGGCUCAGAUUGAACGCUGGGGGCAUGCCUAACACAUGCAAGUCGAACGGCAGCACAGUAAAGAUUUCGGUCUUUAUGGGGUGGCGAGUGGCGGACGGGUGAGUAACACGUAGGAAUCUGUCCUGGAGCGUGGGAUAACCCGAGGAAACUCGGGCUAAUACCACAUGAUAUCGAGAGAUCAAAAGCAGGGGACCGAAAGGCCUUGCGCUCUGGGGUGAGCCUACGUCGGAUUAGCUAGUUGGUGGGGUAAAAGCCUACCAAGGCGACGAUCCGUAGCUGGUCUGAGAGGAUGACCAGCCACACUGGGACUGAGACACGGCCCAGACUCCUACGGGAGGCAGCAGUGGGGAAUCUUGGACAAUGGGGGAAACCCUGAUCCAGCGAUGCCGCGUGUGUGAAGAAGGCCUUCGGGUUGUAAAGCACUUUAGGUGGGGAAGAAAGGUAACGAGCGAAUAACUCGUUGCUAUGACGGUACCCGCAGAAUAAGCACCGGCUAACUCUGUGCCAGCAGCCGCGGUAAUACGAAUCACUAGUGAAUUCGCGGCCGCCUGCAGGUCGACCAUAUGGGAGAGCUCCC